rnacentral:rRNA from 1 species
UACGUAGGGGGCAAGCGUUGUCCGGAUUUAUUGGGCGUAAAGAGCGUGUAGGCGGUUUGGUAGGUCCGUUGUGAAAACUCGAGGCUCAACCUCGAGACGCCGAUGGAAACCAUCAGACUAGAGUCCGGAAGAGGAGAGUGGAAUUCCUGGUGUAGCGGUGAAAUGCGCAGAUAUCAGGAAGAACACCCGUGGCUAAGGCGGCUCUCUAGUACGGUACUGACGCUGAGACGCGAAAGCGCGGGGAGCAAACAGG